rnacentral:rRNA from 1 species
ACUGAAAAUCUUCGGAGUUGUAGUCUGGAGAGGUUAUGAUUGCGAUGGACAUGGGCCAAGUCUCCUGGAACGGAGCGCCAAGGAGGGUGACAGCCCCGUUCAUGCCCAUGUCAGUAGCUUCCAUCAGGCCUUCUACGAGUCGAGUUGUUUGGGAUUGCAGCUCUAAGCGGGUGGUAAAUUCCAUCUAAAGCUAAAUACCUGUGGGAGACCGAUAGCGAACAAGUACCGUGAGGGAAAGAUGAAAAGAACUUUGAAAAGAGAGUUAAAGAGUACCUGAAAUUGCUGAAAUGUAACCGAUGGGAGCCAGUGUGCCCUGGGUAUUCAUACCUAGGUAAGUUAGGCUUUCUUCUGUGCGUGGGAAAGGCGCUGUUCCUGUUUGGUUCGGUGUGCUGUCAUGCGUGGGAGAGACUCYGACGAAAUGGCUCUUAUCAUCCCGUCUUGAAACACGGACCAAGGAGUMUAACAUGUGUGCGAGUGCUCGGGGUUCAUCCCCCAGCGCGAAAUUAAUGUAAAGGUGGAUUUAUCCACUGAGGUAGGACUGUUGCACUAUCGACCGACCAUGAUCCUUCGGGUGAAAGGUUUGAGUGUGAGCAUACAUGUUGGGACCCGAAAGAUGGUGAACUAUGCCUGAGUAGGGUGAAGCCAGGGGAAACUCUGGUGGAGGCCCGCAGCGAUUCU